CCUACGGGUGGCAGCAGUGGGGGAUAUUGCACAAUGGGGGAAACCCUGAUGCAGCGACGCCGCGUGUAGGAAGACGGUCCUCUGGAUUGUAAACUACUGUUCCCAGGGACGAAGAUGACGGUACCUGGGGAGGAAGCUCCGGCUAACUACGUGCCAGCAGCCGCGGUAAUACGGAGGGAGCGAGCGUUGUCCGUAAUUACUGGGUGUAAAGGGAGCGUAGGCGGGGAUGGAAGUUGGGUGUUAAAUCUACCGGCUCAACUGGUAGUCGAACUCAAAACUGCAGCUCUUGAGUGAAGUAGAGGCAGGCGGAAUUCCUGGUGUAGCGGUGAAAUGCGUAGAUAUUAGGAGGAACACCAGUGGCGAAGGCGGCCUGCUGGGCUUUUACUGACGCUGAGGCUCGAAAGUGUGGGGAGCAAACAGGAUUAGAUACCCUGGUAGUC
rnacentral:rRNA from 1 species